rnacentral:lncRNA from 1 species
AUUGAAUGGUCUAAGAAACUUAUUUCUUCUUUCAUUCAAUUGCCCUGGCCAAGGUCUUAGUUUGGUCGUUUAUAAUUCAUGACAACAUGGAGCUUAAACUCAUUACCAAGAGUUGACAGAUUCCGUCUUGAUCAAUCACUAAUUUUACAAGUAUUUUAUCGUACCCAAUAUCCAUUCAACUAUCGCCCUAGGGCCAUAGGUGUCUAGUAUCAAAGCUCAAUAAAUGACUUGUCAAUUACUAUGACGAUCUCAAGUCAAAGAAAAUAGUUACA